AAACUUGAGACGCUUUCAAUUUUUAAUUUGUUCAAUUUGGUUUUACUACCGUGCUAUUUAAUUUUUAACUCUUGAAUAAAGUAUAAAAAACACCUUUUGGGUGUUGGAAAACGCUUUCCGGUUCUUAUUUAUAUAGUAUGCAGUAUUGCUAGCACAACUUCACCGUUCAACGUUGCAGAAAAAUUUACUAAACGAUGAGAAAAAUAUUUUUUAACAAAUCUUGGUUAAUUGGAUUUCUUGAAAGAAAAAGAAGAUUUUAUCUUGAACCCGAAUAAUUCAUAAAUUUGAG